rnacentral:rRNA from 1 species
GGAAUCUUCCACAAUGGACGCAAGUCUGAUGGAGCAACGCCGCGUGAGUGAAGAAGGUCUUCGGAUCGUAAAGCUCUGUUGUUAAAGAAGAACACGUAUGAGAGUAACUGUUCAUACGUUGACGGUAUUUAACCAGAAAGUCACGGCUAACUACGUGCCAG